rnacentral:rRNA from 1 species
UACGUAGGGGGCAAGCGUUGUCCGGAUUUAUUGGGCGUAAAGCGCACGCAGGCGGUCAUGUCAGUUUCGAGUGACAGGUGGUGGCUUAACUGCCACAGGCCUCGAAAGACGGCAUGACUUGAGGGCUUGAGAGGGACGCGGAAUUCCAGGUGGAGCGGUGAAAUGCGUAGAGAUCUGGAAGAACACCAAAGGCGAAGGCAGCGUCCUGGCAAGUGCCUAACGCUCAGGUGCGAAAGCUAGGGGAGCGAACGGG